CCCCUUUAGCUGAGAUCCCUCCAAUAACUUCAUGAUAUCCUUCCAGUGAAGAGGUAGUAGGUUGAUCUAUAUCCAUUUGUGUUAAAGGACACGAGAUGUGCUCUAUUUUCUUUCAUUUGUGGUCUGAAUUGCUUGCUGCCCCCUGUUCUCUGAAGUCACACCAUUGCACAAGUCGACUGCAGCACAGGGCUCCCUCAAAAUUUCAG
rnacentral:misc_RNA from 1 species